UACGGAGGGUGCGAGCGUUAAUCGGAAUUACUGGGCGUAAAGCGCACGCAGGCGGCUUGUUAAGCUAGAGGUGAAAGCCCCGCGCUCAACGUGGGAACUGCCUUUAGAACUGGCAGGCUAGAGUCUUGGAGAGGGGAGUGGAAUUCCAGGUGUAGCGGUGAAAUGCGUAGAUAUCUGGAGGAACAUCAGUGGCGAAGGCGGCUCCCUGGCCAAAGACUGACGCUCAUGUGCGAAAGUGUGGGUAGCGAACAGGAUUAGAUACCCGGGUAGUCC
rnacentral:rRNA from 1 species